rnacentral:lncRNA from 8 species
CCUGUCCGAAGUGGUUAUUUUAGUCCCACUCUACAGACCUGCACUCUCCCUAGUCCCUCCCUCGAGGGGGACGUGAAGUGGCCAGCAGAGUUAUCAGAGUAUUAGCCUGGCACUAUUAUCUCAUUACCAUGCCCCACUUUACCAAUCUGUAUUAAAACCCUCUUUGACAAACUGAGCUGAGUGAGCCUGGCCACCAUGCUUCAGGGCAUUACAGAUGACCGAGGUUAUACCCAGGAUUCCCAUUGUUCUUUGACUUCUCAUACAGAUGUAGGAUCUUAAUUUGAUCACUCUUUUGUUGCUGAGUAUUUUCCUGCAGCAGGAAAUACAACCUUGCCCUAACAAAAAAUGUAUCAACCCCUACAAUAAAUGUCAAUUCAUUAUAAUUCACAUAAUAAUUCACAUUUCCUGUUGCUCCAGGAUUAUUUUCCUGCUGUAGCAAACUGGCUCAAAUUACAUUUGUAUAGGUCAGUGGCUCUAGUUUAGCUGGCUAAUAAUGCCGUUUACUUAACAUUGCUGUGUUGCUCUUGUACAGGGAUGAACUGAACUGGCAGAACAGUGCGUAAACUGAUUGAUGACCCUUGACCCUGAUCUACUUCCUGCUUCUCUUCUCCAAGAUACUGUUGGGGUUAGAGGCAGAUCCACUGUCAAGGGUCAGACAGACCCUGAGGCACACUGACAAACCAAGCAGUGAGUGGAGUCCAUACACUCACCCUCCUGGUGUGUCCACUUCUGAUCGUGAUUACAGCCCUUCAUGUGAACUCUGUUUGUUACAGUGCAUUGUCGACAGGAUAGAGCACUUACUGAAUUACCCUACUGUGGUGUGGGGCUAUUCAGUGCUGUGUUGUCAGAGGUUGGGUUCUAAUAGAAAGUGUUUGCUUACUAAAAAGAUCACUGGAUCCACCAAGUACACCCAGAGCGCUCUGCAGGUAUAAACCAGGUGGGUGACCCGUUUUGUAAUUGUGAUUUCGUUUUCAGGCCCAGGGCCGGCCCGCUCUUUAGGCAGGAUUAGGCGGAUGCCUAUGGCAGGAUUUUCUGAGUUAAACUGACCAGGAUGCACCUCCAUCAACACAUAAUUCUACCCCCAAAACAAUGACAAUUCCUCUCAACCAGUGACAUUUGGUCUUUUUGGGUGAGCGCUGACGCCGCCCUGUGAUAAGCAGUGCCCGCUUCGUCAAAGUCAGGGAGGCAAAAUAUUUAUCUUGUCCAUUCCCAGCGCGAAUCUCCAGGGUGCUGUUGUAGAGAUGCAUCGCUGUUGCGCUCCACCAACGUUCCAUCAACAAAAACAUUUAACAUAGAUCAUGUAGCAAAUAAAGCAAAGAGUAUGUGGCCUUUUCUGUAGCCUACAGGCCGGAGAUAAAAUGGAUGACAAUGUAAUGAGACGGAAACGUUUGCAUCAUGUAGGUUUCUCAGAUCAAAUUGCCUAACCUAAAUGGCACCCAGUCAAAUAAAAAAAAUGCGAUGACGUGUUAACAAACAGUAUAUCCUAAAAACAGGACAGGUCAAAGUAAAAUGGACAAUCAGGCUACUCACAACUACCGUUCAGGAGUUUGUUCCCAUGGGCUUAAUUGUCAUGAUCAGUGGUUUCAAGUUUGUAUCCGUACAUUUUUUACGAUCAUAGCGAAAAAAGAAACGUUUCCAUUUCCCGCUGUGUAAACACAUUGCAAAUAGGUUAAUGUAGCUGAUUUUCAGAGCUUUAAUAACCAAAUAGAUUAGGUCACAGGAAUCAGGACUAAUAAAGCCAAGGCAACGGCCUGUUUUACAAACGAUGGGCCUACCAUACGGAUGGGCAUUCAUAAAAGUCCAUUGUGG